rnacentral:rRNA from 1 species
GUGGGGAAUCUUGCGCAAUGGGCGAAAGCCUGACGCAGCCAUGCCGCGUGAAUGAUGAAGGUCUUAGGAUUGUAAAAUUCUUUCACCGGGGACGAUAAUGACGGUACCCGGAGAAGAAGCUCCGGCUAACUUCGUGCCAGCAGCCGCGGUAAUACGAAGGGGGCUAGCGUUGCUCGGAAUUACUGGGCGUAAAGGGCGCGUAGGCGGACAGCUUAGUCAGAGGUGAAAGCCCAGGGCUCAACCUUGGAAUUGCCUUUGAUACUGGCUGUCUUGAGUUUGGGAGAGGUGAGUGGAACUCCGAGUGUAGAGGUGAAAUUCGUAGAUAUUCGGAAGAACACCAGUGGCGAAGGCGACACACUGGCUCAUUACUGACGCUGAGGCGCGAAAGCGUGGGGAGCAAACAGGAUUAGAUACCCUGGUAGUCC